rnacentral:rRNA from 1 species
GUAGGGAAUCUUGCGCAAUGGGCGAAAGCCUGACGCAGCCAUGCCGCGUGAAUGAUGAAGGUCUUAGGAUUGUAAAAUUCUUUCACCGGGGACGAUAAUGACGGUACCCGGAGAAGAAGCCCCGGCUAACUUCGUGCCAGCAGCCGCGGUAAUACGAAGGGGGCUAGCGUUGCUCGGAAUUACUGGGCGUAAAGGGAGCGUAGGCGGAUAGUUUAGUCAGAGGUGAAAGCCCAGGGCUCAACCUUGGAAUUGCCUUUGAUACUGGCUAUCUUGAGUAUGGAAGAGGUAUGUGGAACUCCGAGUGUAGAGGUGAAAUUCGUAGAUAUUCGGAAGAACACCAGUGGCGAAGGCGACAUACUGGUCCAUUACUGACGCUGAGGCUCGAAAGCGUGGGGAGCAAACAGGAUUAGAUACCCCAGUAGUCC